rnacentral:misc_RNA from 1 species
AAGUCGUAACAAGGUCUCCGUUGGUGAACCAGCGGAGGGAUCAUUACAGAGUUGUAAAACUCCCAACCAUUGUGAACAGACCCGCAAUACUACAGCGGGUGGUUCACCAUAACCACCCGCUGUAGUAUGCAAAACUCUUGCUAUAGUGUAUCUCUGAGUAACUUAUUUAAUAAGUCAAAACUUUCAACAACGGAUCUCUUGGUUCUG